AACGCACCUUGCGCUCUCUGGUAUUCCGGAGAGCAUGUCUGUUUGAGUGUCAUGAACUCUUCAACCCACCAGUUUCUUGUAGACUGAUUGGUGUUUGGUUUCUGAGCGUUGCUGGUCUUCGGAUCUAGCUCGUUCGUAAUAUAUUAGCAUCUCUAAUUCGAACUCGGAUUGACUCAGUGUAAUAGACUAUUCGCUGAGGACACGCUCUUGCAGUGUGGCCGAAUGAGAUCUCAGUAGAAGCUUCCAACUACUUUAGUCAACUUUAGAUUAGACCUCAGAUCAGGCAGGAUUACCCGCUGAACUUAA
rnacentral:misc_RNA from 1 species